UACGUAGGGGGCAAGCGUUAUCCGGAUUUACUGGGUGUAAAGGGAGCGCAGACGGACAGGCAAGUCUGAUGUGAAAACCCGGGGCUCAACCCCGGGACUGCAUUGGAAACUGCAGGUCUGGAGUGUCGGAGAGGUAAGCGGAAUUCCUGGUGUAGCGGUGAAAUGCGUAGAUAUCAGGAGGAACACCGGUGGCGAAGGCGGCUUACUGGACGAUGACUGACGUUGAGGCUCGAAAGCGUGGGGAG
rnacentral:rRNA from 1 species